GACAGAGGCCUCAAGCAUUAGGCGGAAUCACUGGGCUUAAAGCGUGUGUAGGCGGAUCGUUAAGUGUCUUGUGAAAUCCCACGGCUCACCCGUGGAACUGCUGGGCAUACUGGCGAUCUUGGGCCAACUAGGGGCAACUGGAACAAGCGGUGGAGCGGUGAAAUGCGUAGAUAUCGCUUGGAACGCCAAAGGUGAAAACAGGUUGCUGGGGGAUGUGCUGACACUGAGACGCGAAAGCCAGGGGAGCGAACGGG
rnacentral:rRNA from 1 species